rnacentral:rRNA from 1 species
UACGUAGGGGGCAAGCGUUGUCCGGAUUUAUUGGGCGUAAAGAGCGUGUAGGCGGUCCGGUAAGUCCGUUGUGAAAGUCAGGGGCUCAACCCUUGAAUGCCGGCGGAUACUGUCGGGCUAGAGUCCGGAAGGGGAGCAUGGAAUUCCUGGUGUAGCGGUGAAAUGCGCAGAUAUCAGGAGGAACACCAGUGGCGAAGGCGGUGCUCUGGGCCGGAACUGACGCUGAGGAGCGAAAGCGUGGGGAGCAAACAGG